GCUGGGCAUGGUGGCGCAUGCCUGUAGUCCUAGCUACUUGAGAAGCUGAGACAGGAGAAUCGCUUGAACCCAGGAGGCGGAGACUGCAGUUAGCCGAGAUUUUGCCACUGCACUCCAGCCUGAGUAACAAAGCGAGACUCUGUCUCAC
ensembl:misc_RNA Metazoa_SRP Metazoan signal recognition particle RNA